CAGAUAUUUUGGCUUUGUUUUGGCAGAUAUCUGCAAUUUAUGGCUUCCUUUUGGCAAGCCAUAAGCUUUUGGCAAAAUUUUGGCAUGGUUAUGGUUGACCUGGGCGCCAGUGAAUUGGGGCGUUCCUCUGGAAAGCAAAAAAAAACAAAGAUUUGGCUAAAAUAUGGGUUGUUUAUGGCUUCCCACAACACAUUAAAACGCGCGGACUGUGAAUGAAUGAGUUAUGGCCAGGUUAUGGCAUGUGUCAGGUUAAUCUGAACCUCAGGUGGAGAGCGGGACAGCAACGUUCUACAUUGGUGCGCUUACGGCAACCCAAAAGACUGCCAAAAUCAACUGUCAAGAGAAAAACUCGUGCUUGCCUCACUUCAGUUUCCCCAGCGCCAGUGUGUGUCAGACUUCAGUUUAUGCAGAUGUGCUGCUGCUGAAGUCACCCGGUGGAGGAACUUGUUUUUUGACAGGCAUACUACAGAUGCUGUGCUGCGAACGGACACUGCAGUCAA